GUCCCUCUCGUGCAGGACUUCAGCCACCUCCUGCGGCCGCAGGAGGUGGCUGUUUCCGUCCAGGGGGAACAGGUCCAGCCACUGAUGCUUCGUAGCUAGUCGGGUAUCGGUUCGGCUUUGGCCGACAGGGCAACUUCAAUCCUUUGGCAAUCCUUUGGCAUUUUCAUCAUCUGAGUUAAGUCUCCUUCUUUAGUGAGAAGGGGUGCUGCAGUUCAGGAGCUCCCGAUGCGCGAGUCACGCUCAGUACCGGAGGGAAGGUUUCUGAUGAUGUUCUCGGUAUUUAUCUGGCAUGGUCUUGGUGCUUAUUGAUUCCGUUCGUGUAUGUUGCAAGCUGUGUUAUUAGGGUUAUGCUGUAUCUCUGUGUUUUUUCUCUUUUUUCCUUCGGCGGGUCUGUCCGAAGAUGAAUGAAACUAGCGUUG
rnacentral:lncRNA from 1 species